rnacentral:sRNA from 2 species
GAUAGAAGCCGUUAGGUGAGGCUCCUAUACGGAAAACGCUACUGCUCAGAAACGUCGAAAAACGCCAAUGAGUCAGCUGUCCGGGUUAAAAGAAGGCCCAGUCUAAUGUAGCUGUUACUAAACUAACUACGCCGUAUAGUGCUAAAGCUCAACGAUUGGCUAACCAA